GUCUCUGCAAACACGUACUGGCUGCCCAGGUAGGUGCAGGCAAAGGCGGCCACCACGGUGACAAUGAAGUUGAAGAUGGUGAUGACAACGGCUUUCACGGAGCGAACUGGGGACACAGGGGUGGAGGAGCUGGUUUUAGGAACACCUCAGUGCAUGGAAACCUCCUGGUGAGAUAUUCCGAGAGGGAAGGGCUGUCACCAGCUGGAGAUGGAACAGUUCCCAUGCCUGGCCUGCCACAUGCCAACAGGACAGGGAGCCACUCACCUUGCCUCCCAAAUUCAGCCAAUGGCCCAUUCAUCUCCUGAAAGAAGGGAUUGAAACAGCUUGUGAUCACUUGUAUUUUCAUGUUAAUAUGUUAAUGUUAUUACUGUGUGUGCAGAAUAAAAGCAAUGCCAAUGCCC